CCUACGGGAGGCAGCAGUGGGGAAUUUUCCGCAAUGGGCGAAAGCCUGACGGAGCAAGACCGCGUGGGGGAGGAAGGUUCUUGGAUUGUCAACCCCUUUUCUCAGGGAAGAAGAAAGUGACGGUACCUGAGGAAUAAGCAUCGGCUAACUCCGUGCCAGCAGCCGCGGUAAUACGGAGGAUGCAAGCGUUAUCCGGAAUGAUUGGGCGUAAAGAGUCCGUAGGUAGCCCUUCAAGUCUGCUGUUAAAGAGCGAGGCUUAACCUCGUAAAGGCAGUGGAAACUGUAGAGCUAGAGUGUAGUAGGGGCAGAGGGAAUUCCUGGUGUAGCGGUGAAAUGCGUAGAGAUCAGGAAGAACACCGGUGGCGAAAGCGCUCUGCUGGGCUACAACUGACACUGAGGGACGAAAGCUAGGGGAGCGAAUGGGAUUAGAUACCCCUGUAGUC
rnacentral:rRNA from 1 species